rnacentral:rRNA from 1 species
AUUGAACGCUGGCGGAAUGCUUACACAUGCAAGUCGAACGGCAGCACGGACUUCGGUCUGGUGGCGAGUGGCGAACGGGUGAGUAACAUAUCGGAACGUAUCCAAUAAUGGGGGAUAACGAGUCGAAAGAUUCGCUAAUACCGCAUACGCCCUACGGGGGAAAGCUGGGGACCUUCGGGCCUGGCGUUAAUGGAGCGGCCGAUAUCUGAUUAGCUAGUUGGUGAGGUAAAGGCUCACCAAGGCGACGAUCAGUAGCUGGUCUGAGAGGACGACCAGCCACACUGGAACUGAGACACGGUCCAGACUCCUACGGGAGGCAGCUGUGGGGAAUUUUGGACAAUGGGCGCAAGCCUGAUCCAGCCAUUCCGCGUGAGUGAAGAAGGCCUUCGGGUUGUAAAGCUCAUUCGCAAGGGAAGAAAACUUAGCCACUAACAUUGGUUGAGGUUGACGGUACCUUGAUAAGAAGCACCGGCUAACUACGUGCCAGCAGCCGCAGUAA